rnacentral:rRNA from 1 species
UUGGACCUGAUAUCAGGCAAGAUUACCCGCUGAACUAA